GGUAACACCCGAAGUCAGGAGCCUGACCUUUUUAGGAGGGCACUGCCGAAGGUGGGAUUGAUGACUGGGGUGAAGUCGUAACAAGGUAAC
rnacentral:rRNA from 1 species